AUGAACGCUGGCGGCGUGCCUAAUACAUUCCAGUCGAGCGAACAGACGAGGAGCUUGCUCCUCUGACGUUAGCGGCGGACGGGUGAGUAACACGUGGAUAACCUACCUAUAAGACUGGGAUAACUUCGGGAAACCGGAGCUAAUACCGGAUAAUAUAUUGAACCGCAUGGUUCCAUAGUGAAAGACGGUUUUGCUGUCACUUAUAGAUGGAUCCGCGCCGCAUUAGCUAGUUGGUAAGGUAACGGCUUACCAAGGCAACGAUGCGUAGCCGACCUGAGAGGGUGAUCGGCCACACUGGAACUGAGACACGGCCCAGACUCCUACGGGAGGCAGCAGUAGGGAAUCUUCCGCAAUGGGCGAAAGCCUGACGGAGCAACGCCGCGUGAGUGAUGAAGGUCUUCGGAUCGUAAAACUCUGUUAUUAGGGAAGAACAAAUGUGUAAGUAACUAUGCACGUCUUGACGGUACCUAAUCAGAAAGCCACGGCUAACUACGUG
rnacentral:rRNA from 1 species